UACAAGAAAUACUUGAAAGAUUUUGGCAAACAAACGACAGCCUUGACGUGAGAUAAAUAUUGAACAACAUUCACACGAGAAAGUAAAGUUGUCAAGGAAAACUUGUUGAUUGUACACACGAGAAAGUAAACUUGUCAAGGAAAACUUGUUGACUGUACACACGAGAAGGUAAGCUUGUCAAGGAAAACUUGUUGACUGUACACACGAGAAGGUAAGCUUGUCAAGGAAAACUUGUUGACUGUACACACGAGAAGGUAAGCUUGUCAAGGAAAACUUGUUGACUGUACACACGAGAAGGUAAACUUGUCAAGGAAAACUUGUUGACUGUACACACGAGAAAGUAAACUUGUCAAGGAAAACUUGUUGACUGUACACACGAGAAAGUAAA